UACGAAGGGGGCUAGCGUUGUUCGGAAUCACUGGGCGUAAAGCGCACGCAGGCGGAUUGAUAAGUCAGGGGUGAAAUCCCGGGGCUCAACCUCGGAAUUGCCUUUGAUACUGUCUGUCUUGAGUUCGGGAGAGGUUGGCGGAAUUCCUAGUGUAGAGGUGAAAUUCGUAGAUAUUAGGAAGAACACCAGUGGCGAAGGCGGCUAACUGGCCCGAUACUGACGCUCAGGUGCGAAAGCGUGGGGAGCAAACAGG
rnacentral:rRNA from 1 species